GACGAACGCUGGCGGCGGGCUUAACACAUGCAAGUCGAACGGAAACGCCCUGAUUUUGUGGGGUGCCCGAGUGGCGAAGGGGUGAGUAACACGUGAGUAACCUGCCCUUGAUUUUGGGAUAACUUCAGGUAACUGGGCCUAAUCCCGGAUAGGAGCUCCUGCUGCAUGGUGGGGGUUGGAAAGUUUCGGCUGUUGGGGAUGGACGCGCGGCUUAUCAGCUAGUUGGUUGGGUAGUGGCUUACCAAGGCUUUGACGGGUAGCCGGCCUGAGAGGGUGACCGGCGACAUUGGGACUGAGAUACGGCCCAGACUCCUACGGGAGGCAGCAGUGGGGAAUAUGGCACAAUGGGCGGAAGCCUGAUGCAGCAACGCCGCGUGCGGGAAGACGGCCUUCUGGUUGUAAACCGCUUUAGCCUGUGACGAAGCGUGAGUGACGGUACUCAGUGAAGAAGCACCGGCUAACUACGUG
rnacentral:rRNA from 1 species